rnacentral:rRNA from 1 species
AUACGUAGGGGGUGAGCGUUGUCCGGAAUGAUUGGGCGUAAAGGGCGCGUAGGCGGCCCGGUAAGUCUGGAGUGAAAGUCCUGUUUUUAAGAUGGGAAUUGCUUUGGAUACUGUCGGGCUUGAGUGCAGGAGAGGUAGGUGGAAUUCCCAGUGUAGCGGUGAAAUGCGUAGAGAUUGGGAGGAACACCAGUGGCGAAGGCGACUUACUGGACUGUAACUGACGCUGAGGCGCGAAAGUGUGUGGAGCAAACAGGAUUAGAUACCCUGGUAGUCCACACUGUAAACGAUGAAUGCUAGGUGUAGGGGGUAUCGACCCCUUCUGUGCCGCAGUCAACACAAUAAGCAUUCCGCCUGGGGAGUACGGCCGCAAGGUUGAAACUCAAAGGAAUUGACGGGG